rnacentral:lncRNA from 1 species
UGACCUUUCUAGCACAACCUUCACAAUGCAUAUAGACUCUGAGCACAAUUUCUUGAGGUGGUGGCGGAGGUGGCGGAGCAUCACCCUCUUUGGCCUCUUUGCCAUCCUUACCCUCUUCAGCUUUCUUCUCUUCCUUCUUCUCCUCAGCUGGUUUCUCUUCCUUCUUAUUCUCCUCAGCCUUCUUUUCCUCUUCAGGCUUUUUCACCUCCUCAGGCUUCUUCUCCUCCAUUUUCUUCUCCUCGGGCUUCUUCUCCUUCUGAACAAACACAAACCCAACUCUCCCAAUAAACAAAGAUGUAAACUAAACAAGCUUAUAAGUUCUGAAAGUGGGAAAACAAAUAUUAGAAAAAAGAUUGUAGGACCUCCCCCAUUGGUUUUAGGUCAGCUCGAGUAAAGAUUCAAUUGUUAAGGCGCUCUCUCUUUCUUGGGUGGUGGAGAUCAGCCUUUUCUUUCCUUCUUUCUUUCUCUUUAACUGUGCUAAAAUGUGUGCUGGUAGAGACUG